AUCCAUGUUGCUCUGGCCUCUUGGUGUAUCAAGUUACUUUGGAUCUCUCCAUCCUAGUUUAUCCUUCAUAUCGUUACCAGGGUGAUACUGCUGAAACUCAAAUCCUACUGCAGCAUCAUUUCUGCUUAAAAUUCUUCUGAGAUUCCUUUUGCCUUCAGGAAAAGCCCAGACUUCUUUAUGGCACAUUCAAAGCUACAAGGCCCCCAUCACUGUUCUCAUAGCUCAACGUGCCUGCCCACCCCCUCCAACCCCAAUGCCUUGUGAUUGCAGGACCUGCUGGACAGCUCCCUGCUUAUGAACAAGCUAAGCUGUUCAUCACCUCUGUGCCUUUGAACAAAGCAGUUUCCUCUGCUUGAGGCUCUCUUCCUCCUUCCCACCCUUCUCUCCCUUUCCUGCCUGGCAAAUUCCUCUCCAUCUUUUUUUGCAGCUAAAAUAGCAUCUUCCCCAUGGAACAAUCCCUCACACUCUCCUCUCUCAGGCAUUCAGUCUCUGCUUCUGUUUUCACACUUUCCCUGGCUUAUUGUUUUUAUUUAUUUGCAUCUCUGCCUCCCUGAGAGACUGGUAACAACUUGAGGGUCUCGUUCAUAGUAGGUCGUCAGACACUCAUUGAUAAAUAAAUGCUUCUGAGAUACAGGAUCAACCUAAUUGUCUUCUUACUUAUCUAAAAGGAAGGAGGCUAAAAGGUAACAAACAUAUGGGUUCCCUAAGGAAAUCUCGUGAAGAAACAUAAGUAAAUGUCGAGAAUUUGGCUUUGGGGUCAUGGACAAAGCCCAGAAUAUAUGUUUUUGGUUUCUGGUUUUUCAGACUCCUGGGGCCAAUGACUUCUAGAAGCUGAGCUAUUUGACUGCAUUAGUCAUGACGGCACAUCACCUGGUGAAAAUCAAAAGGCUGCAAAUUACCUGUGUAGUGUUAGAAGCGUUCUUACAAGUACGAUUUAUGAAAAUCUUAAAGGACUGUGGGAGAGGCACACUCAUAGAGUGUGUGAUAUUCAGAUGGAUUCAUUACCCCUAGCGCCACCUGGGAAGCCCUCUAAAGAGGAGAGACUCCCCCAGAGGAAUACCAACUAAGACACAGUGACAACCAUUGAACACCAGCCAGUCCCAGAUGUGUGAGGCAAGGGUAAAAUGGAGCCAGGUAAGUAAAAAUUGUCCUGUUCCCCUCCCUCCCCUCCCUCUCCCCAGUUGCUCUGUACUCAAGGUCAGCUAAUAGUUGGGAAGGAGUUAAGAAGAAAGAAAGAGGGGGACACAUUUCUUUCUACACUCAGGGCAGCUAGCAUUUAGAGUGACCAUAGAAGCUGCUUAUAAGGCCGGUCUUUGGCUGGUGUCUGGGAACUUGGAUUUCAGGAGGGUUCCCGUGCCUCCAUCUCC
rnacentral:lncRNA from 1 species